UCCCUGGUAGCUUAGAAGAUAAAGCGUCUGCUUGCAACGCGGGAGACCCGGGUUCGAUCCCUGGGUCGGGAA
rnacentral:tRNA from 1 species